GAAAAGCAAUGUGCACCAUUUGGUAUAAUCACAAGUAUUGUCUAGACAGGCUGCAAUUAGCUUCAGUGACCACAGKUGGGUUAGUAAGAGCCUAAGUGCUGAGAGGUUCCACUCCCCCGUCUUCCUAGAAAAACAGUGAAUUUGCAAAACCUUUUUGAUGUGAAAAAAAAAAAAAAAAACCUAAGAGGGCGAGUUACUGUAACUGGAAAUCUUUUCUGUGGAGAUUUUUAAACACCCAGACGUGAACAAAAGUGUCAUUUCUGAACACAUGAUGGGAGGCUUGAUCMUUGAACAAUCUUUGAAAAUUUAUUGUUUGCUUCGGGGCGUCUGUUGUGUGCUUUCUACACAGAAACCACAAAAGCUUUCUUAUCUUGUUCAGGCUGAUGUCGUGAUAGCACCAAAUCUGAGGUGCUGCCUUUUCCUGCCAGAGGAAGACACAUCAGAAUCGUGCCCACCUGGAUAGAGGAGACGGGAAGAAAUUGUACAGCUGCAGCAGCGGUUGUCAUGAUCUCUGGUCUUGACGGCGCAUCGUCAUCGUGGUGGAGGCUGCAGCUUUCACCAUGACAGAGCGUGCUUAGUCUGCAGCAAUGUGUAGUUAUUGGAGAUUGUUGGCAACAAGGAGAACAGAGUAAAAGACUAAGAGACCAAAGAAAACUUCCCAAGAAAAUUAAGAAGGAAGCCAAUAAACAUGACAGUUUCCAUUUCAGUUUAUCAUAGGCGAUGAGUCAUUUAACAUUUACUUUCAAGCAGAUGAUAGGGACAGAUAAUUACUUGUUAAUGCCUGUGAAGACUUUUCCCACUGUAUUUAAGUCUGUAGGGUUAAAAAUUUUCAUGCAAUCUAUCGAUGGGUUGUUGUUUAAAUGUCAGUGACAAUUGGCCACUUAAACGGAAACAAGAAACAAAGAUGAGGAUUAUGACGGGCAGAUUUCUUUUACAAAGACAAAACAAAA